rnacentral:rRNA from 1 species
AUUGAACGCUGGCGGCAGGCUUAACACAUGCAAGUCGAGCGGGGUGAUGGUGCUUGCACUAUCACUUAGCGGCGGACGGGUGAGUGAUGCUUAGGAAUCUGCCUAUUAGUGGGGGACAACAUCUCGAAAGGGAUGCUAAUACCGCAUACGUCCUACGGGAGAAAGCAGGGGAUCACUUGUGACCUUGCGCUAAUAGAUGAGCCUAAGUCGGAUUAGCUAGUUGGUGGGGUAAAGGCCUACCAAGGCGACGAUCUGUAGCGGGUCUGAGAGGAUGAUCCGCACACUGGGACGGGGACACGGCCCAGACUCCUACGGGGGGCAGCAGUGGGGAAUAUUGGACAAUGGGGGGAACCCUGAUCCAGCCAUGCCGCGUGUGUGAGGAAGGCCUUAUGGUUGUAAAGCACUUUAAGCGAGGAGGAGGCUCUUUUGGUUAAUACCCAAGAUGAGUGGACGUUACUCGCAGAAUAAGCACCGGCUAACUCUGUGCCAGCCGCCGCCGUAA